rnacentral:ncRNA from 1 species
ACACACUGUCGGCAAACCAUUUGAAAAAAUGGGACGCAAAGCUUCCGGUCUAACGAUAAUAUUUAUCCACGAUAGCGGAGCCGCCACU